UACGUAGGGGGCAAGCGUUGUCCGGAUUUAUUGGGCGUAAAGAGCGUGUAGGCGGCCAUACAGGUCAGCUGUGAAAACUCAAGGCUCAACCUCGAGACGUCGGUUGAAACCGUAUGGCUAGAGUCCGGAAGAGGAGAGUGGAAUUCCCGGUGUAGCGGUGAAAUGCGCAGAUAUCGGGAAGAACACCCGUGGCGAAGGCGGCUCUCUGGGACGGUACUGACGCUGAGACGCGAAAGCGUGGGGAGCGAACAGG
rnacentral:rRNA from 1 species